CCAGCUAGUCUGCGCCUGCAAUACACUGUUGCAAACUUCUCAGCGUGACCACUCAGAGAAAGAUCCACCUCGGUGCCCCGACUGGUCCCUCCCCUGCAGCCACAGCUGCCGGAUCCCGCCUGGCCUGCCAGAGCCUCGGUGAGCACCCCGUGGGCAUCCUCAGCAACGCCUUCCAGAAAGGAAUGCGGGGUGCAGAAUGUGACUAGCCACGAGAUCUCUGCAGCUAGGAGGGUUCCAUACACUGGUAGGAG